rnacentral:rRNA from 1 species
AACGAACGCUGGCGGCAUGCCUAACACAUGCAAGUCGAACGAGAUCUUCGGGUCUAGUGGCGCACGGGUGCGUAACGCGUGGGAAUCUGCCCUUUGGUUCGGAAUAACAGUUGGAAACGACUGCUAAUACCGGAUGAUGACGAAUGCCCAAAGAUUUAUCGCCCGAGGAUGAGCCCGCGUAGGAUUAGCUAGUUGGUGUGGUAAAGGCGCACCAAGGCGACGAUCCUUAGCUGGUCUGAGAGGAUGAUCAGCCACACGGGGACUGAGACACGGCCCAGACGCCUACGGGCGGCAGCAGUUGGGAAUAUUGGACAAUGGGCGAAAGCCUGAUCCAGCAAUGCCGCGUGAGUGAUGAAGGCCUUAGGGUUGUAAAGCUCUUUUACCCGGGAUGAUAAUGACAGUACCGGGAGAAUAAGCUCCGGCUAACUCCGUGCCAGCCGCCGCAGUAA